GGCCCCGUCGUCCAGCGGUUAGGACACGGCCCUUUCAAGGCCGCGACACGGGUUCGAGUCCCGUCGGGGUCACCA
rnacentral:tRNA from 2 species